GCGCUGGUCGUAUAAUGGUUCAUUAUUCCUGCCUUCCAAGUGACAGAACAUGUCAUAAGCGUAGCAGGAGACAGGGGUUCGAUUCCCCUCCAGCGCA